AGAGUUUGAUCCUGGCUCAGAUUGAACGCUGGCGGCAUGCCUUACACAUGCAAGUCGAACGGCAGCAUGAUCUAGCUAGCUAGAUUGAUGGCGAGUGGCGAACGGGUGAGUAAUACAUCGGAACGUGCCCUGUAGUGGGGGAUAACUAGUCGAAAGAUUAGCUAAUACCGCAUACGACCUGAGGGUGAAAGUGGGGGACCGCAAGGCCUCAUGCUAUAGGAGCGGCCGAUGUCUGAUUAGCUAGUUGGUGAGGUAAAGGCUCACCAAGGCGACGAUCAGUAGCUGGUCUGAGAGGACGAUCAGCCACGCUGGGACUGAGACACGGCCCAGACUCCUACGGGAAGCAGCAGUGGGGAAUUUUGGACAAUGGGCGAAAGCCUGAUCCAGCAAUGCCGCGUGUGUGAAGAAGGCCUUCGGGUUGUAAAGCACUUUUGUCCGGAAAGAAAUGGCUCUGGUUAAUACCUGGGGUCGAUGACGGUACCGGAAGAAUAAGGACCGGCUAACUACGUGCCAGCAGCCGCGGUAAUA
rnacentral:rRNA from 1 species